rnacentral:rRNA from 1 species
CCUACGGGGGGCAGCAGUGAGGAAUAUUGGUCAAUGGACGAGAGUCUGAACCAGCCAAGUAGCGUGAAGGAUGACUGCCCUAUGGGUUGUAAACUUCUUUUAUAUGGGAAUAAAACGUUCCAAGUGUGGGAUUUUGUAUGUACCAUAUGAAUAAGGAUCGGCUAACUCCGUGCCAGCAGCCGCGGUAAUACGGAGGAUCCGAGCGUUAUCCGGAUUUAUUGGGUUUAAAGGGAGCGUAGGUGGAUUGUUAAGUCAGUUGUGAAAGUUUGCGGCUCAACCGUAAAAUUGCAGUUGAAACUGGCAGUCUUGAGUACAGUAGAGGUGGGCGGAAUUCGUGGUGUAGCGGUGAAAUGCUUAGAUAUCACGAAGAACUCCGAUUGCGAAGGCAGUUCACUGGACUGCAACUGACACUGAGGCUCGAAAGUGUGGGUAUCAAACAGGAUUAGAUACCCUGGUAGUC